CAGGGUACAGCUCAAUGGUAGAGCACAUGAUUGGCAUGCAUGAGGUCCUGGGUUCAAUCCCCAGUACCUUCC
rnacentral:tRNA from 1 species